rnacentral:rRNA from 1 species
GUGACCCAGGGUCGAGUUGGCCUACCUUCGGACUU